rnacentral:rRNA from 1 species
AUUGAACGCUGGCGGCAGGCCUAACACAUGCAAGUCGAACGGUAACAGGAAGCAGCUUGCUGCUUCGCUGACGAGUGGCGGACGGGUGAGUAAUGUCUGGGAAGCUGCCUGAUGGAGGGGGAUAACUACUGGAAACGGUAGCUAAUACCGCAUAAUGUCGCAAGACCAAAGAGGGGGACCUUCGGGCCUCUUGCCAUCGGAUGUGCCCAGAUGGGAUUAGCUUGUUGGUGGGGUAACGGCUCACCAAGGCGACGAUCCCUAGCUGGUCUGAGAGGAUGACCAGCCACACUGGAACUGAGACACGGUCCAGACUCCUACGGGAGGCAGCAGUGGGGAAUAUUGCACAAUGGGCGCAAGCCUGAUGCAGCCAUGCCGCGUGUAUGAAGAAGGCCUUCGGGUUGUAAAGUACUUUCAGCGGGGAGAAGGGGAGUAAAGUUAAUACCUUUGCUCAUUGACGUUACCCGCAGAAGAAGCACCGGCUAACUCCGUG